rnacentral:rRNA from 1 species
AAAAUAUCCUCAUAAGUUAGACGAAAAGAGGUACCAUUUGUGAAUUUUAUUACUGAGAUUUUUUUUCUUAAUAAUUGAUAGAUAAAUGGUGACACAUAAUCGGAGGCCCCGACUGUUUACUAAAAACACAACACAGUGCAAUCAUUAAUAUGGUAGUAUACUGUGUGAAAUUUGCCCAAUGCCAUUAAUAUAAAAGCGGUCAUAGGAAACUGUGACUAAUUGAAAAUCUGGUUAAUAGCGGUCUUAACCAUGAGGAUCCUAAGGUAGCAAAAUAAAUUGGCCAUUAAAUGUGGUCCGGUAUCAAUAAUGUAACGAUGGCCUCACUGUCUCUACAACUUGCUCAGUGAAAUUGAAUUACGCGUGCAGAUGCGCGUUACCUCCAGUGGGACGGGAAGACCCUAUGCACUUUCU